rnacentral:misc_RNA from 1 species
AACGCACGAGACCUGCGGACCUGCGGAAGGAUCAUUACAGAGUUUUCCGAACUCCAAACCCAUGUGAACAUACCUUACGUUGCCUCGGCAGGUCCGCGACCUACCCUGUAAGCCCCUACCCUGUAGGAGCCUACCCGGUAAGGCCCGGGCAGACGCCUGCCGGCGGCCCUGCAAAUACUGUCUAUUACUGAACUCUGAGCCUAUAACGUAAUGCGUUAAAACUUUUAACAAUGGAUCUCU